CCUACGGGAGGCAGCAGUGGGGAAUAUUGCACAAUGGGGGAAACCCUGAUGCAGCAAAGCCGCGUGAGUGAUGACGGCCUUCGGGUUGUAAAGCUCUGUCUUCAGGGACGAUAAUGACGGUACCUGUGGAGGGAGCCACGGUUAACUACGUGCCAGCAGCCGCGGUCAUACGUAGGUGGCGCGCGUUGUUCGGAUUUACUGGGCGUAAAGGGAGCGUAGGCGGACUUUUAAGGGAGAUGUGAAAUACUCGGGUUCAACUGUAGUGCUGCAUUUCAAACUGGAAGUCUAGAGUGCAGGAGAGGAGAAUGGAAUUCCUAGUGUAGCGGUGAAAUGCGUAGAGAUUAGGAAGAACACCAGUGGCGAAGGCGAUUCUCUGGACUGUAACUGACGCUGAGGCUCGAAAGCGUGGGGAGCAAACAGGAUUAGAUACCCGUGUAGUC
rnacentral:rRNA from 1 species